rnacentral:rRNA from 1 species
AUUGAACGCUGGCGGCAGGCCUAACACAUGCAAGUCGAACGAGUGGCGGACGGGUGAGUAAUGUCUGGGAAACUGCCUGACGGAGGGGUCUAACUACUGGAAACGGUAGCUACUACUGCAUACCAUCAGAUGUGCCCAGUUGGGAUUAGCUAUGUGGUGGGGUAACGGCUCACCAAGGCGACGAUCCUGAGCUGGUCUGAGAGGCUGACCGGCCACACUGGAACUGAGACACGGUCCAGACUCCUACGGGAGGCAGCAGUGGGGAAUAUUGCACAAUGGGCGCAAGCCUGAUGCAGCCAUGCCGCGUGUAUGAAGAAGGCCUUCGGGUUGUAAAGUACUUUCAGCGGGGAGGCGUUACCCGCAGAAGAAGCACCGGCUAACUCCGUGCCAGCAGCCGCGGUAAUAC